rnacentral:rRNA from 1 species
GAUGAACGCUGGCGGCGUGCCUAAUACAUGCGAGUCGAGCGAACAGACGAGGAGCUUGCUCCUCUGACGUUAGCGGCGGACGGGUGAGUAACACGUGUAUAACCUACCUAUAAGACUGGGAUAACUUCGGGAAACCGGAGCUAAUACCGGAUAAUAUCUUGAACCGCAUGGUUCAAUAGUGAAAGACGGCUUUGCUGUCACUUAUAGAUGGAUCCGCGCCGCAUUAGCUAGUUGGUAAGGUAACGGCUUACGAAGGCAACCAUGCGUGGCCGACCUGAUAGGGUGGUCGGCCACACUGGAACUGAGACACGGUCCAGGCUCCUGCGGGAGGCAGCAGUAGGGAAUCUUCCGCAAUGGGCGAAAGCUUGGCGGAGCAACGCCGCGUGAGUGAUGAAGGUCUUCGGAUCGUAAAACUCUGUUAUUAGGGAAGAACAAAUGUGUAAGUAACUAUGCACGUCUUGACGGUACCUAAUCAGAAAGCCACGGCUAACUACGUG